AACGCAAAUUGCGCUUCUGGGUAGCCCUAGGAGCACGCCUCUCUCAGUAUCGGUUCCUUCUCAGACUAGCAGCGUCUAUAUUUCAUAGAUGUGUUCUAGUGACUGGAUGGUGAGAGCUUCGAGCCCACUCCAACUUUUGGUGGUGGUUCGUCUCUUGAAAACAUAUGAAAGAUUGCUUGGGUGUUUGCUGUACUACUUAAAACUAGUCGGCCUCGAGUGAUGAGACUAACUAACCGUAGUGUACAUCAUUUCUUGCUUGCUAGUGGUACUUGGCUGAACAUUCAGUGUUUGUCUAUCUUUCGAUUGGGACUCCUUCUCUCCGAGUGAAAUGAAAAGCUCUAUUCGUGUGAGAGAGGUCCAACCCUUUUUGGGUUGAGUCAUAUUUUAUGACGACAAAUCAACUUGAUCUGAGAUGAGGUGAGAUUACCCCCUGAAUUUAA
rnacentral:misc_RNA from 1 species